CAGAGAUUGCUUUUAGAAAUUGAUUUGGUAUAGCUUUUAAGCAUUCAUUUUUUUUUAAAUUGGAUAAGUGAGAACAGAGUGUGAGGGAGAGAUGAGGCGGAGUCCUUGGCAUUAUUUCAGUCCCCGAGACUGCAUGAGAUCAGCAAAGGAGUGGCGUAGAUGGAGCAAAAAGGAGUUGGGGGGACUGAACCUCAGAAGAUCCAACACGGAGAGGGGCUGGCUGUUUCUUAACUGUUCAGAUGUUUAGUGUUCUCGUCCCCCAAGUAAAAUGCCAGCUCCUUGAGGCUCCAGUCAGAUCUGUGCACUUCUCACUGGGAACUGUGACCUUGGGCAAUGCUCAAUAAAUAUUUGGUGAAUGAAUCAAUGGGUGACUGGACAUAUACCAGGCAAUGUUUGGAAGAGUUAACAAGAUAAAAGAAGGAAGAAUAUAAGAACUGUAUUCGGCAUCUUUAUCUAGUGUCCAUCACUCACUCUACCUGCUUAAGGAAUAAAUGUGGGACAGCACGGCAAAGCUGUAAAGCUCAACAGAUUCUGGGAUCUUGCUUUUCCAGACAGAGACCUUGAGCUCAAGACUUCCAUUUGAAAAGCUAGACACAGUGGUGCAGGCCUAUAAUCCCAGGCACUUGGGAAACUAAAGCAGAAGGAUUGUGUUUUAGGCAGCUUUUUCACAGCUGUGACUAAAAGACCCAGCCAGAACAAUUUUAGAGGAGGAAAAGUUUAUUUGAGGGCUCACGGUUUCGGAGUGUUCAGUCCAUAUGCAGCAAGCUCCAUUCUCCAGGGCUCCAGUGAGGCUGAACAUCAUGGUGGAAGAGUGCAGCAGAGGAAAGCAGCUCACAUCAUGAUCAGAGAGGAGGGAGGGAG
rnacentral:lncRNA from 1 species